rnacentral:tRNA from 1 species
GGGCGCUUGGUCUAGGGGUAUGACGCAUCAUUUGCACUUCCGAUAAGGAGGAAAUGUUGAUGAGGCCCCGGGUUCGAUUCCCGGAGUGUCCA